CGGGCCCUGCCCCGGCUCCCUGGGCAGGUGGGGGCACGGAAAUUCAACUUUCUUCCAGGAAGUUGAGGAGCCAGUGUUCUAACCCCCGUGGUGCCAAUUAUCUCCAUGGCCUCUAGUAAGCAUCUCGACUGGAUCAUUUGAGGUAGGAAGACCCACCUGAAAUCUGGGUCACACACUCUGGUAGCAGCCUCCAUAAAGAACAUGGAAAAAGUGAGCUGUUUGCUUGCUUGCUUGCCCUUGCCCUCCAUGGCAAGUUCCCUUUCUUCACUGUAUCAGAACCCACUUCUUUGGAAUUCCUGGGUAUACUGGAGACCAGCUGAGACUUCCAGCCUCAUGAUCUGGAUGACUUUUGUAUGGGUGGACUUCCCAUCAGGAGACAGUCAUUGUUGGAAUAUUCAGAAUGCAACCGGGCACGGAGAGUCACUUGAACAAGCUCAGACAAGAAUCAGCAAGGAAUAGCAUCUGCAGCUGUACCUCGGCCUGUCUGCUCUGCUCCAUGCGUCGAUAUCCGCAUAUGGCAAGUCGUAGGGAACUUUGCUGCCUAUGAAGCAAGUGGUGACAGGAACCUGGACUUACUGGUUUUAAGAACUGGAAUAUUCACUUGGAAACCACUGCAAACAACAGAGAUGCUGUUUGAUCUGUACCUUAUAGUACAGCACUGAGAUGCUAGUCUGAGGAGACAGGAUCUUAGAAAGAGUCAACAGCCUUGGGAGACUACAGGAGUAGUUUUGUCAGCUUUAUACAAACCAAAGACACCUGGAAAGAGGAGACCUCGGAUUAUGGGCAUGUCUGAGAGACAUUUGGUUGACUGCAGUUGAUGGAGAGGAGCCUGAUCCACUGUGGGUGGCGCCAUCCAUAAGCCUACGUUGCUGCCUCCAGGUUCCUGAGUUGAGUCCCUACCGUGGCUUCCCUCCUUGAUGGACUGUAACCGCUCAACCAAAGUAUGAAGCUCAGAUCAGCUUUCUCUGACUUAGCGGUUCAAAUGUGUUCACUCUGACAAGCCAAGGCGUAGAAUGAGGACGUGUGUGGAAUGUUGUGUCUGGGCUUGAGCUCACCUGGAACUAUUUCUAAGCCAUGCUUUGGGUAUUCUGAUAUUUUAGGCAGUAGGAGGGCAGGGUUUCCACACACCCCAGAGUGUACCCAGCAUGAAAAAUAUAGCUUAUACUGAACAAAGUUAUAUUUGUGUUCACUGUGGUCCGAAGAUGACGUCCCUGAAGUUCAUAUGUUGAAAUCCUCACCUCUGCUGGGUUGAAUAUGUUUACAUGUUUUGACAGUAAAGAAUAUCUUCCCCCUUUUUUUCUGUAGCACUGAGGAUUCAACGCACGGUAGGAGACGCCAAGACAGCAGAGGUUAAGUUCUCCCUUCUGUAUGAGGUGCGUGGACCUGUGACGUAAGAACGCAGACGCGGCGCUCUCUGCUUGCCUGCCUGCUUGGGUGCUGCAAACCUGAUCUUUUGGAGAAACUUGGACUCGCGCUGGAUUGUCUCUGGGCCCCUACUCAGCAGCACUCCUUUUCCUUCAGUUUUGAAUCCCUAAAUGUCAUUCUCUAAUGUCCUUCCAGUGUGGUUUAUGCCA
rnacentral:lncRNA from 1 species